rnacentral:lncRNA from 1 species
UAGUUCCAGGCAUCAACUCUAUCUCGAACUCUAUCUCCCUAGCAGGUGGUAAACCUGGAAGCUCGUCGGGAAAGACAUCCUGAAACUCUCUGACAACUGGCACUGAGGCUGGCUCCCUGACCUGACUGUCUAGCUCUCUCACAUGAGCUAAGUACCCCUGACAUCCCUUCCUAAGCAACCUACGAGCCUGAAGAGCUGAUAUCAGACCUCUAGGUGUGCCCCUCUUGUCUCCUCUGAAGACGACCUCUGACCCGUUC